rnacentral:lncRNA from 1 species
AGCAGUGUUAGCUGCUUCAGAGUCGGUUCGGAGCUAGUCAAGGUGAGUAGAACUUAACUCUUUUAAUAUUAAAGGAAUUGAAUGAUCAAAGCAUGUUCAUGCAUCAUGAAUACCAUGUUAUGUAAUAGGUUGUUGCAUUAGAGAUCACGAAUAUGUUGCAUUGCAUAAUUCGAUGUAUGAUGAUGCGGAUGAAUAUUGAAUGAUCCAUUAGCCCUCAGUACGAUGUGAUAUGACAUAAUAUGACAUGAUAUGACAUAUAUGGCAUGAUAUGAGAUGAAAAGACCAGGUGUGGCCGUAUCGCCCCUGGCAUAGAGUAUGAAAAGACCAGGUGUGGCCGUAUCGCCCCUGGCAUAGAGUAUG